UAAUCGCAGCAUCUAAUAAAGCUAAACUUUAACUAGGUGAUGAUCAUGGAUUCUAAUUAGGUCAUAUUACAAGCACAUGCACAUCAAUCGAUCAAGUGGUCUUCAACUCUUGAAUUGGUUCCAAGCCUCCUUGAUUCGAUCCUUGAUCAACUCUUGAUCCCAUCGCCAUCAACCGCUUAGAUCACCUUUCAUCUCAUGCCUUUGCUUCAACUUGAUCGUUGAUGUACAUCACAUCACAGAAAUACAACCAGAUGUAAAAUAAAAAUAAAAAUAAUUUACAUCUCCUUUUAGGAGGCACGCAGGCCUCUCAAAACAUCAAGUAAGAUGCAUGCAAGCAUCUGAAAAAUUACAUGACAUCGCAGAUCACAUCGCAGGUCAUUACAUUUGAUACCAAAAGGGUUUGAAUCCUAUGAUCAUCACCGUAUGCAACAAUUAUAACUUUCAGAUCUGAAAACUAACUGAUUAUAUCAUGACAUAGGUCGCUGAUCAUGCUAAUCAUGAUUCUAAACUUUGUAAUCCCAUUAACAACGCAAUUAGAAUCAUCAUUUUAUCACAUAAAAAAUCAGCAUGCAAAAAUCAGCACCCCUGAAAAAUCUGCAUGCAGAAUUUUUCAGCAUGCAUGAUCAUUCAAUUUUCAGAUCUAAU
rnacentral:lncRNA from 1 species